rfam:Triticum aestivum genome assembly, contig: Triticum_aestivum_CS42_TGACv1_scaffold_307715_4AS
UCCACUGCUCAGUUGGUAGAGCACAAGGCUCUUAACCUUGUGGUCGUGCGUUCAAUCCCUACGAUGGAG